rnacentral:rRNA from 1 species
UUGAACGCUGGCGGCAGGCCUAACACCUGCAAGUCGAACGGUAACAGAAAGCAGCUUGCUGCUUUGCUGACUAGUGGCGGACGGGUGAGUAAUGUCUGGGAAACUGCCUGAUGGAGGGGGAUAACUACUGGAAACGGUAGCUAAUACCGCAUAACGUCGCAAGACCAAAGAGGGGGACCUUCGGGCCUCUUGCCAUCGGAUGUGCCCAGAUGGGAUUAGCUAGUAGGUGGGGUAAAGGCUCACCUAGGCGACGAUCCCUAGCUGGUCUGAGAGGAUGACCAGCCACACUGGAACUGAGACACGGUCCAGACUCCUACGGGAGGCAGCAGUGGGGAAUAUUGCACAAUGGGCGCAAGCCUGAUGCAGCCAUGCCGCGUGUAUGAAGAAGGCCUUCGGGUUGUAAAGUACUUUCAGCGGGGAGGAAGGGAGUAAAGUUAAUACCUUUGCUCAUUGACGUUACCCGCAGAAGAAGCACCGGCUAACUCCGUG